AUUGAACGCUGGCGGCAUGCCUUACACAUGCAAGUCGAACGGUAACAGGUCUUCGGAUGCUGACGAGUGGCGAACGGGUGAGUAAUACAUCGGAACGUGCCCGAUCGUGGGGGAUAACGAAGCGAAAGCUUUGCUUAUACCGCAUAAGAUCUACGGAUGAAAGCAGGGGACCGCAAGGCCUUGCGCGAACGGAGCGGCCGAUGGCAGAUUAGGUAGUUGGUGGGAUAAAAGCUUACCAAGCCGACGAUCUGUAGCUGGUCUGAGAGGACGACCAGCCACACUGGGACUGAGACACGGCCCAGACUCCUACGGGAGGCAGCAGUGGGGAAUUUUGGACAAUGGGCGAAAGCCUGAUCCAGCCAUGCCGCGUGCAGGAUGAAGGCCUUCGGGUUGUAAACUGUUUUUGUACGGAACGAAAAGACUCUUUCUAAUAAAGAGGGUCCAUGACGGUACCGUAAGAAUAAGCACCGGCUAACUACGUGCCAGCCGCCGCAGUAAUAC
rnacentral:rRNA from 1 species